rnacentral:rRNA from 1 species
GAUGAACGCUGGCGGCGUGCCUAAUACAUGCAAGUCGAGCGAACGGACGAGGAGCUUGCUUCUCUGACGUUAGCGGCGGACGGGUGAGUAACACGUGGAUAACCUACCUAUAAGACUGGGAUAACUUCGGGAAACCGGAGCUAAUACCGGAUAAUAUUUUGAACCGCAUGGUUCAAAAGUGAAAGACGGUUUUGCUGUCACUUAUAGAUGGAUCCGCGCCGCAUUAGCUAGUUGGUAAGGUAACGGCUUACCAAGGCAACGAUGCAUAGCCGACCUGAGAGGGUGAUCGGCCACACUGGAACUGAGACACGGUCCAGACUCCUACGGGAGGCAGCAGUAGGGAAUCUUCCGCAAUGGGCGAAAGCCUGACGGAGCAACGCCGCGUGAGUGAUGAAGGUCUUCGGAUCGUAAAACUCUGUUAUUAGGGAAGAACAAAUGUGUAAGUAACUGUGCACGUCUUGACGGUACCUAAUCAGAAAGCCACGGCUAACUACGUG